UGUCAAGACCCAGAAACUACUUACUAUGAAUGGAGGAUUCCAUCUGAAAUCUAGCACCCAGAGUCUGUAUACCAGCCAAAAGGAAGGAGGUCGGGGCCUAAUGAGUGUCACGGCCACAGUCAUGGAUGAAACACAGAGCAUCCACAAGUACAUCAGGAAGAUGGCUCCCAAAGAUAAACUGCUAAGGGAAUGCCUGAGACAACAGGCAUAGAGGAUGCAGAAAAAGAG